AUGCAGUGUUAUCAGAGCAGCCCAAACAGCCGGGUGCUCCUCUUCGGGCAGGAGAGCUGGGUGGGAAGCUGCAGGAGCCAACGCUUUGCCCAUGUCCUCUUGAAACCCCAGUCUGCCACACGCUGCAAGCAGCACUGCAAGCCUGGCGGUCCCAGGCUGUGGCAGCAGGAGACAUGGAGCUGCUGCAGGCCCUCCUGCAUGCCAGAGAAUGAGCUACAGGAGACACCGACCAUCAUCCCAGUACUUCUGCUGUCUCCUAGCUGCCUGAGAUAUGGUCUCCUCCAUGUGCCAAAUACCCAAAAGGAGCACAUGCUCCUCUUGAAAUUAAUUUAUAUUUUAAAUAAUUUGAAAUUAAUGUGGACAAGGUCCUCAGUGGUGGACUGUACAGAAACACCUUUGCAUUAUCUGGAGAUAAUCAGAUUUUCUUUGCAGUUUAGCUUCAAAGAACAUACCUUCCAGGAAAGAAUAUUUCUGGAAAUAGCAGAGGAGCUCAAGGAUCGUUGCAGUCAUGCCACAGGGCACCAUUAAAUAAAGCAACCUUCUCUGUCGUCAUAAUCAUGAUGGAAUGACUUGGAAGGAAAACAAACCACGGCUGUAGAUGCAGUAGCUGCAAGCACCAAAUCUCCAAAGACAUCUUCAAAAUAAGGGCAGAUAUAUCACAGCAAGGAACAAAACGCCUCAGUACUUGUUUGGGACCAUUUGUUUCGCCGAGCCCCUGCAGGUGGUCAUUGUGCUGCUCGGGAUAAUUUGCAUCGCUCUCAGCUGCUGAGGACAGAAACCCAACACCCAGACCCUGCUCCAGCACAGCAAACAGCCACACGUUUAAAGACUGAAGGAUUACAUCUUCCUAAGCAUGUUUUUAAUUAACACACAAAUGUGUCAUCCUAAAAGGGAGCUCAGAAGCCUGGCUCUCAGUUACCCCAAACCAGAUUUAUGGGCUGUAUGUGAAGUGGUUAGCAAAGACAUUUAAAAACAAUUAGGCUCUUGGAGAGGCAGAUUCAAGCAGCCCAGACUGCUCUCAUUAUGCUGGAGAACGGGAAAAUAAAGCCAUUAGGCUCACCA
rnacentral:lncRNA from 1 species